rnacentral:misc_RNA from 1 species
UACAAGGAUGGCACAGCAGUUAAGAG